ACUCCUACGGGAGGCAGCAGUGGGGAAUAUUGCGCAAUGGGCGAAAGCCUGACGCAGCCAUGCCGCGUGUGUGAAGAAGGCCUUAGGGUUGUAAAGCACUUUCAAUUGGAAGAAAGCUGUUGCCUAAUACGCAACAGCCUGCACAUUAUCCUUUAGAAGAAGCACCGGCUAACUCCGUGCCAGCAGCCGCGGUAAUACGGAGGGUGCGAGCGUUAUCCGGAUUUAUUGGGUUUAAAGGGUCCGUAGGCGGAUUAAUAAGUCAGUGGUGAAAUCCCAUCGCUUAACGAUGGAACUGCCAUUGAUACUGUUAGUCUUGAAUGAGGGUGCAGUGGUUGGAAUGUGUAGUGUAGCGGUGAAAUGCAUAGAUAUUACACAGAACACCGAUUGCGAAGGCAGAUCACUAACCCUAAAUUGACGCUGAGGGACGAAAGCGUGGGGAGCGAACAGGAUUAGAUACCCUGUAGGCUCUG
rnacentral:rRNA from 1 species